AUUCCAUGGUGGGGACACUUCCUUAAUAACUCCGUAAAGCACUCCCAAGCAUCAUACAAAGACUCCCCAUCAUUAUGAUGGAACUUAUUGAUUUUACAUCUCAACUU